GCUGGUUUAGUUCAGUUGGCAGAACGCCUGCCUUGUAAGCAGGAUGUCGGGAGUUCAAAUCUCUCAAUCAGCACCA
rnacentral:tRNA from 1 species